CAGUAGCCGCGGUAAUACGGAGGAUCCAAGCGUUAUCCGAAAUUAUUGGGUUUAAAGGGUGCGUAGGCGGCAUGCUAAGUCAGGGGUGAAAGACGGUGGCUCAACCAUCGCAGUGCCUUUGAUACUGGUGUGCUUGAAUGUACAUGAGGUAGGCGGAAUGAGACAAGUAGCGGUGAAAUGCAUAGAUAUGUCUCAGAACACCAAUUGCGAAGGCAGCUUACUAAGGUAUGAUUGACGCUGAUGCACGAAAGCGUGGGGAUCAAACAGGAUUAGAUACCCGGGUAGUCCCUGUCUCUUAUAC
rnacentral:rRNA from 1 species